UAUGGAGUGUUUGACGAGUAUGGCAGACGGGGAGACCCUAAUUAUCCGGAAACAUUCUGCGAGGGACGCAAGCUGAAGAUGAACGCCUGUUCGAAAUUCCUGGGUUUCACCGCUCUGCGAGACGACGGCUCACCAUGCAUGAGGGAUAAGAAGUGUCACUUCGAGAAAAAGUGCACCGUCUCGCCCUUUAUUAUCUCUAAAAGCCCUGCAGAAAGCUCUAUCAUGUUUAUGCCGUACGUCAAAAACAUUUCUCAUUUCUGUGAAUCGGGUGAAGGCCUUCGCAUGCACAACUAUGAAGCUCGG